AUUGAACGCUGGCGGCAUGCCCUACACAUGCAAGUCGAACGGCAGCACGGGUGCUUGCACCUGGUGGCGAGUGGCGAACGGGUGAGUAAUACAUCGGAACGUACCUUAUCGUGGGGGAUAACGCAGCGAAAGCUGUGCUAAUACCGCAUACGCCCUGAGGGGGAAAGCGGGGGAUCGCAAGACCUCGCGCGAUUAGAGCGGCCGAUGCCUGAUUAGCUUGUUGGUGGGGUAAAAGCCCACCAAGGCGACGAUCAGUAGCUGGUCUGAGAGGACGAUCAGCCACCCUGGGACUGAGACACGGCCCAGACUCCCACGGGAGGCAGCAGUGGGGAAUUUUGGACAAUGGGGGCAACCCUGAUCCAGCAAUGCCGCGUGAGUGAAGAAGGCCUUCGGGUUGUAAAGCUCUUUUGUCAGGGAAGAAACACCGGCUCUAACACAGUCCGGGAAUGACGGUACCUGAAGAAUAGGCACCGGCUAACUACGUGCCAGCCGCCGCUGUAA
rnacentral:rRNA from 1 species